rnacentral:rRNA from 1 species
UGGGGAAUCUUGCACAAUGGGCGAAAGCCUGAUGCAGCCAUGCCGCGUGAAUGAUGAAGGCCUUAGGGUUGUAAAAUUCUUUCGCCAGGGAUGAUAAUGACAGUACCUGGUAAAGAAGCCCCGGCUAACUUCGUGCCAGCAGCCGCGGUAAUACGAAGGGGGCUAGCGUUGUUCGGAAUUACUGGGCGUAAAGCGCGCGUAGGCGGACUCUUAAGCCAGAUGUGAAAUCCCGGGGCUCAACCCCGGAACUGCAUUUGGAACUGGGAGUCUAGAGUUCAGGAGAGGUUCGUGGAAUGCCGAGUGUAGAGGUGAAAUUCGUAGAUAUUCGGUGGAACACCAGUGGCGAAGGCGACGAACUGGACGGGUACUGACACUGAGGUGCGAAAGCGUGGGGAGCAAACAGGAUUAGAUACCCGUGUAGUCC